rnacentral:rRNA from 1 species
CCUACGGGGGGCAGCAGUGGGGAAUAUUGCACAAUGGGCGCAAGCCUGAUGCAGCGACGCCGCGUGAGGGAUGGAGGCCUUCGGGUUGUGAACCUCUUUCGCCAGUGAAGCAGGCCUGUCCCUGUGUGGGUGGGUUGACGGUAGCUGGAUAAGAAGCGCCGGCUAACUACGUGCCAGCAGCCGCGGUAAUACGUAGGGCGCGAGCGUUGUCCGGAAUUAUUGGGCGUAAAGAGCUCGUAGGCGGCUGGUCGCGUCUGUCGGGAAAUCCUCUGGCUUAACUGGGGGCUUGCGGUGGGUACGGGCCGGCUUGAGUGCGGUAGGGGAGGCUGGAACUCCUGGUGUAGCGGUGGAAUGCGCAGAUAUCAGGAAGAACACCGGUGGCGAAGGCGGGUCUCUGGGCCGUUACUGACGCUGAGGAGCGAAAGCGUGGGGAGCGAACAGGAUUAGAUACCCUAGUAGUC